AGUGAACGCUGGCGGUAGGCCUAACACAUGCAAGUCGAACGGCAGCACAGUAAGAGCUUGCUCUUACGGGUGGCGAGUGGCGGACGGGUGAGGAAUACAUCGGAAUCUACUUUUUCGUGGGGGAUAACGUAGGGAAACUUACGCUAAUACCGCAUACGACCUGCGGGUGAAAGCAGGGGAUCUUCGGACCUUGCGCGAUUGAAUGAGCCGAUGUCGGAUUAGCUAGUUGGCGGGGUAAAGGCCCACCAAGGCGACGAUCCGUAGCUGGUCUGAGAGGAUGAUCAGCCACACUGGAGCUGAGACACGGUCCAGACUCCUACGGGAGGCAGCAGUGGGGAAUAUUGGACAAUGGGCGCAAGCCUGAUCCAGCCAUACCGCGUGGGUGAAGAAGGCCUUCGGGUUGUAAAGCCCUUUUGUUGGGAAAGAAAAGCAGCAGGUUAAUACCCCGCUGUUCUGACGGUACCCAAAGAAUAAGCACCGGCUAACUUCGUG
rnacentral:rRNA from 1 species